GCGCGAAAACUUUACAAUGCUGGCAACAGCGAUAAGGGAACCUCGAGUGCCAGGUUACAAAUCUGGCUGUCGAGAUGCCUAAAAAGCAUUUAAUAGCAAGGGCCGGGCAAGACCGGUGCCAGCCGCCGCGGUAACACCGGCGGCUCGAGUGGUAACCGUUAUUAUUGGGUAUAAAGGGUCUGUAGCCGGCCGGAUAAGUCUCUUGAGAAAUCUGGCAGCUUAACUGUCAGGCUUUCAGGAGAUACUGUCUGGCUCGAGGCCGGGAGAGGUGAGAGGUACUUCAGGGGUAGGGGUGAAAUCUUGUAAUCCUUGAAGGACCACCAGUGGCGAAGGCGUCUCACCAGAACGGACCUGACGGCAAGGGACGAAAGCUAGGGGCACGAACC
rnacentral:rRNA from 1 species